rnacentral:rRNA from 1 species
UACAGGGGGUGCAAACGUUGCUCGGAAUCAUUGGGCGUAAAGCGCACGUAGGCGGUUUGUUAUGUCGGAUGUGAAAGCCCUUGGCUCAACUGAGGAAGUGCAUCCGAAACUGGCAAGCUAGAGUACUAAAGAGGAUCGCGGAAUUCCCGGUGUAGAGGUGAAAUUCGUAGAUAUCGGGAGGAACACCGGUGGCGAAGGCGGCAUCCUGGACCGAGAUUGACGCUGAGGCGCGAAAGCCAGGGGAGCAAACGGG